rnacentral:rRNA from 1 species
UACGGAGGAUGCAAGCGUUAUCCGGAAUGAUUGGGCGUAGAGCGUCCGCAGGUGGCAAUGUAAGUCUGCUGUCAAAGCGUCUGGCUCAACCAGAUAAAGGCAGUGGAAACUACAUAGCUAGAGUAAGGUAGGGGUAGAGGGAAUUCCUGGUGUAGCGGUGAAAUGCGUAGAGAUCAGGAAGAACACCGGUGGCGAAAGCGCUCUGCUGGACCUUAACUGACACUGAGGGACGAAAGCUAGGGGAGCGAAUGGG